rnacentral:rRNA from 1 species
UACGUAGGGGGCAAGCGUUGUCCGGAAUCAUUGGGCGUAAAGAGCGUGUAGGCGGCCCCGAUAAGUCCGCCGUGAAAGUCCAGGGCUCAACCCUGGAAUGCCGGUGGAAACUGUCGGGCUGGAGUCCGGAAGAGGCGAGUGGAAUUCCUGGUGUAGCGGUGAAAUGCGCAGAUAUCAGGAGGAACACCAAUGGCGGAAGGCGGCUCUCUGGGACGGUAC